rnacentral:rRNA from 1 species
GACGAACGAUGGCGGCGUGCUUAACACAUGCAAGUCGAACGGAAAGGCCUCUUUCGGGGGGUACUCGAGUGGCGAACGGGUGAGUAACACGUGAGUAACCUGCCCUUGACUUUGGGAUAACUUCAGGAAACUGGGGCUAAUACCGGAUAGGAGCUCCUGCUGCAUGGUGGGGGUUGGAAAGUUUCGGCGGUUGGGGAUGGACUCGCGGCUUAUCAGCUUGUUGGUGGGGUAGUGGCUUACCAAGGCUUUGACGGGUAGCCGGCCUGAGAGGGUGACCGGCCACAUUGGGACUGAGAUACGGCCCAGACUCCUACGGGAGGCAGCAGUGGGGAAUAUUGCACAAUGGGUGGAAGCCUGAUGCAGCAACGCCGUGUGCGGGAUGACGGCCUUCGGGUUGUAAACCGCUUUCGCUCAUGACGAAGCUUUGUGUGACGGUAGUGGGUAAAGAAGCACCGGCUAACUACGUG